rnacentral:rRNA from 1 species
UUAGCUUGCUAAGACUGAUGGCGACCGGCGCACGGGUGCGUAACGCGUAUGCAACUUGCCUCACAGAGGGGGAUAACCCGUCGAAAGACGGACUAAUACCGCGUACACUCCACUUUGGGCAUCCAAAGUAGAGGAAAUGAACUUCGCUGUGAGAUAGGCAUGCGUCCCAUUAGCUAGUUGGUGAGGUAACGGCUCACCAAGGCGACGAUGGGUAGGGGAACUGAGAGGUUGAACCCCCACACUGGUACUGAGACACGGACCAGACUCCUACGGGAGGCAGCAGUGAGGAAUAUUGGUCAAUGGGCGAGAGCCUGAACCAGCCAAGUCGCGCGAAGGAUGACUGUCUUAUGGAUUGUAAACUUCUUUUAUACGGGAAUAACAAGAGCCACGUGUGGCUCCCUGCAUGUACCGUAUGAAUAAGCAUCGGCUAACUCCGUGCCAGCAGCCGCGGUAAUACGGAGGAUGCGAGCGUUAUCCGGAUUUAUUGGGUUUAAAGGGUGCGUAGGCGGCCUGUUAAGUCAGCGGUGAAAUCUAGGAGCUUAACUCCUAAAUUGCCAUUGAUACUGGCGGGCUUGAGUGUAGAUGAGGUAGGCGGAAUGCGUGGUGUAGCGGUGGAAUGCAUAGAUAUCACGCAGAACUCCGAUUGCGAAGGCAGCUUACUAAGGUACAACUGACGCUGAAGCACGAAAGCGUGGGUAUCAAACAGGAUUAGAUACCCUGGUAGUCCACGCAGUAAACGAUGAUAACUGGGCGUAUGCGAUAUACAGUAUGCUCCUAA